ensembl:lncRNA
GUCUGAUACCAUGUGAUUACAUGAAACCAUAGGUCUGAUACCAUAGGUCUGAUACCAUGUGAUUAUAUGAAACCAUAGGUCUGAUACCAUGUGAUUAUAUGAAACCAUAGGUCUGAUACCAUGUGACUGUAUGAAACCAUAGGUCUGAUACCAUGUGACUGUAUGAAACCAUAGGUCUGAUACCAUGUGACUGUAUGAAACCAUAGGUCUGAUACCAUAGGUCUGAUACCAUGUGAUUAUAUGAAACCAUAGGUCUGAUACCAUAGGUCUGAUACCAUGUGAUUAUAUGAAACCAUAGGUCUGAUACCAUGUGAUUAUAUGAAACCAUAGGUCUGAUACCAUGUGACUG